AGCUGUUUGCAGCCUUCUGGGGUGGUGUUGCUCUGUAUGAGGAGAUGCCUGAAGCCUUCUGAUGAGGGGCUGAGAGCCAUCCAUCAGCCUAUGGCUGAGUCACGAGAAGCAAGAUCCUUUGACCUCAGUUGCUUUUGCUUUGGUACUAGGCAAAGAAGCUGCAGUUGCUUUGGUGUACUUUCAAGUGGAACUGGAGACGUGGCAGAGUAAUAACCCAGCAGUACACAUUGGCUGGUGAAGGCCCUGACCUUUGUUAGCACUGCACUUUUCCUCUUCUCAUCACUCCCUGUCUGUCCAUUCAGCAGGAUGUGAGAAACUUGGAGAUUUUAAAGUAUGGAAAGCUCAACGUGUCCUGGCAAGGUACACUUGCAGUCCCUAAAGCCAACUGGGCUGCAUCUUAGGCAGCAGGAUGAGGGGGGGAUUCUGCUGCUCUGCUCUCAUGAGACCCCACCUGGAGCACUGCAUCCACUUCUGGAGCCCUCAGAGAAGGAAAGGCAUAAAACAUAGACUUGCCAUGAGUUGGAGUCAGUCCAGGGCAGGGCCAUAGUGUGAUCACAGGGCUGGAACACCUCUUCUAUGCAGACAGGCUGAGAGAGCUGGUGCUGUUCAGCCCGGAGAAGAGGAGGCUUCAGAGAGACCUUAGAGCCCCUUCCAGUACCCAAAUGUGCUACCAGAGAGCUGGAGAGAGACUUUCCACAAGGACAUGCAGUAGUAGAGCAAGGAAUAAUGGCCUUAAAUGAGAGAGUUUAAAGACAUUAGAUUGGAUAUUAGAAAGGAAUUCUUGACUAGAAGGGUGAUGGGCCAGUGGCACAAGUUGCCCAGAGACCACAUCCCUGGAAUUGUACAAGACUAAGUUGGAUGGGGCUCUGAGCAGCCUGGUCUAGUUCAAGGUGUCCCUGCCCAUGGCAGGGGGAUCAAAACUGAGUGAACUUAAAGAUAAUUUCUAACCCAAACCAUUCUGUGAUUCAAUGAGACUUUGCUCCUUGGCCUGCUGGUUCCUGUCCCCAAGACUGUCCUCCACAUCUGGUGGGAGUUUUUGUGCUCUCUGCUUCCUUCUGUAUGAACAGUUUGCUGUUCAGCCACUCCCCAACGUUGGGUGGAAGAACUUAAUUUCAUCCUAUUGCAGGCUCAUGUCUACAAACCAUAUGGCCUUUUCUUAUAGAAGACUGAAGGUAACCCAUAACCAUCUGACAGUACCUUCCAGGUUCUCAGCUCAUGGCCAUUGCCAUGACAUUCAUCUCCAAUUACAUGCAAUUUUCUAUUAGAUCCUCCUUUUUUCUUGUAAUGAGACUAUAACAUCAAGUCUCAUUAUCCUUUUGUGCAUUAUCCUUUUGUGCAGAAGAAGAUUCAGACUCUCUCAAAAGCAAACAAUUUAUAGCAGUGGGCAGGUGCUCACAGCAUCUAAUUUACAAUUUGUUAACAUCAGUAGGCUUUUACUUGGAGGUUAUUUCACUUUCCACAGCUACUGCCUCUCUGACAAUAAUUAUUAAAAAAAAUCUUGGUUAGGGCAAUACAAUUUCUUUGCCAGAACAGAGAGGCUUUAUAUUUGAGGUUAAUAAAAUGUAACAUUUCAUUCCAGAGAUCACAGCUUGUGUCUCAUGCUGUAAUACUCUUUGCUUAGAAACAUUUUCCUCUGGGGUGAAAAAUGGUUAGGUGAAAGCAUUAACACAGAAACACUACUUUAGAACUGUCCAUAUCUAUAUUUGUUUUCAUGCAGAGCCAAAAAGCAGACUCCUACACUUAGUAAUCUACAAGCCUCAAGAAUUACAAUAAGAUAAUACAAUUGGACAAAAAUGGCAGAAAAAUGCAUCUAGUUUUCAAAAGGUAGCAAAAGAAAGUUUUUUUUGACUCUUAAAAAAGUUUCUUCUAGUACAGAUAGAUUGUGAUUUCAGUGUAGAGGGAAAUGCUUUGUGGCAUCUCCUCUGCUGUGAGUUUUUUGCCAUUAACUGGAGGAGUCAGUUUGCCAUCUGAAUCCUUACCUAAAAGACAGAGUGCUCCUUGACUGCACUUAGAUGAACACAGAAAAUACAGACACACAUAGCUCUUCUGUCCUGCUUGAAGAGUGAGACUGAUAGCAAUAAAAUAAGGUUUUUCUCCCAGCUGAGGAGGAAAAUAAGAGUGAAUAUGUGCAGUGGAGGCAAGGGCAAGCAGGUCAGAGAUAAUGCCUGGAGAUGGAUAUGGAAGAGACAGCUACUCCUUUUUGACAUUACUUACUGCUUUUAAGGUGUGUAAGACAGCUUCAUUUAGAGCCCAGAAAUAUGAUGGAAGGAAAACACAUAUAGGGAGAAAAUAAGAAUUUUUGACAUGAGAUGUCUAAAAGUGUAGCAUUUGGUGAAGACAUCCAUGAGAAAGCAGCAGCCCAAAUCAGGAGCAGCAACAGGAAAUGCACUUUGAAGUGCUGAAAUCAGUACAGCUUCAUUAUCAUCUCACAGUCUCAUAAACUCACAGCAGCUUAGCAGCUAAUGUUCUCCCUGGUAACCACAUACAAGAACAACGUCAUACUUUGAGAAAAAAAUCUGAAUGAACCCUUUGCUCUUCCAUGUGAGGAAUCGUAACAUUUCUCCUACACACAUUGUAAAUAGGACUGUUCUUUAUGAUCUUGUUCAACAAAACACCUUUUUUUGGUAAGACCCCAUUACCUGCCCAGAGCGCUUUGGAGAAGACCCAUGCACACAAUAGGGACCUGCUGGGGUGCUUGGGUACAAAUUGAAAUGCUGGGGGAACCCAGUGAAGAGAGUGAGACAUCCCAUAGUGAGAUUGCUUUUGUUUCAGUCUGAUAACAUCUUUUCCAUCUCAUUCUCUGAGGUGCUCCAUAAAUCACAGAAUCACAGACUAUUCUGAGCUGGAAGGGACCCACAAGGAUCAUGAAGUCCAGCUCUCAAGUGAACGGCCCGUGCAAGGAUUGAACGCAAAACCUUGGUGUUAUUAGGUGGAUUAUUUCUGCAAAUCCCAGCUUUGCAAAUCUCUUUCUCCAGGCAGUUGGGUUUCUGCGUGCCCCCCUGAAAGCCAUGCAGCUCAGAGUAUCUCUCUUCCACAACCCUGGUGUAAUGCCCUUACUGCCUCGGGGAAGGUUCCUCACGUAGGGGAGGAAGGAAGAAGUGGCUGUGGGCUCUGUGGAGUCUCUGACAGAGAAGAGCUUUUCACUGUUGCCAUAUCAACACCCCUCUCUGUCUUACUAUGAAGCAUCAUCUGUGAAUGAAGGCACCUCAGCAUUUCUCAUCUAAGAUGAAAAAUCAUUGAAUUGGGCAUCUUUACACUUCAGAUCAGAAUGUUACCCUGUACAAUCAUGCUGCCAGAGGCUCAAGGUCAGAUCUUGGGCAAUUUCCUAUUUGAAGGCAGCAGUUUCUUUUUUCAGAAGGCUGCAGAAGCUGGUGCAUACAUGCAGGCAACACCCUUUGUCAUGCCUGUUAUGUCCAGGUGCCGUCAGAGGUCUGGAUUAAUGCUGAAUACAAUGAAAACUGCAGUACAGCCUGUCAGAUAGACCCAGCCACAUGACUGUCACACUGGGCACAAUCUGUAAGAUUGACAGUACAACCUUGUUUGGUUCUUGUGGGGUUUAGAGUUUAGAUAUAAUCCAGUGUGAAAACUCAAUCAG